CGGGUUUCUCUCCAUUCUAGACCGAUGAACUCCCAUGGAAUGAAUAGUCAGGGCUACCCUGUCCAGGAGGACAAGGACAGAAGGUCUCCAACUUUGAACUUGCUGCUCAUCUGAGUUAUGAGCUAUGCUUCUUGCACCCAGGCUUAAGAGGCACAGCUGACCAGGUGUUAGGAAUCUAGGAGUGACUUUAAUCAAAACACAAGAACAGUUUUUCAUUCUAUUUCUCCUGUCAAGAUUUUCAACACUCUUGCUGCAACAGUCCUCCCAGGUUCAUUUGCAGAAACUGGCUUUGUUUAUCAGUGUGUAUUGCCAGUGUGUUUGCAACACUUGCAGUGCAGGAAAAUGCAUGCCGUAAAUGAACUCUUGUUGCUUCGCAUCUGUGAGUUCUUCACAGAAUCACAGAAUCAUAGAAUUGCAGGAGCUGGAAGAGACCUCAAGGGAUCAAGUUCAACCCCCCUGCUACAGCAGGUACCCUACAGUAGGUCGCACAGGUAGGCGUCCAGAUGGGUUUUGAGUAUCUCCAUAGAAGGAGAAUGCACAACCUCCCUGGGCAGCCUGUUCCAGUCCUCUGUCACUCCUACUGUAAAGAAGUUCUUUUGCAUGUUGGUACGGAAUUUCCUAUGUUCACAUUUUUGGCCAUUGCUCCCUGCCCUAUUUCUACGCACCGCUGUGAAGGGCCUGGCCUCACCCAUUUGCCUCCCACCUCCCUUUAGGUAUUUUAAACAUCUAAGUCAAAGUCAGUGGUGUGUAUUAGUGGCUAGAGAUAACUAAUCUGUUCAAAAAAUAAUUAAAAAUUCUGAAAUUAACUAAAAGAAAAUCCUCUCAAGUUAAUAAACCAACCUUUCCUGGCAAAAAAUGCUUAUGGCAGAUUGGGUUUGAAAGCUUUGGAUACACCUGAGAAUACUCAUACAUUCUAAAUUUUUUUUUUGGUUUAUGAAUUUGUGCUGACAAGUUCUGAAGAAAUUAUACUGGUAGGAUAAAAAUGCUUUUUUAUGACCACUCUGAGUAGUCCUGGAAUAAACAGUACUCCUGAAAUUUAUCCAUAUUUAUACUAAAUAUCAUAAAUUAGAGAAUAAUUGGGAUUGGAAGGCACC
rnacentral:lncRNA from 1 species